GGUGCUCUGUAGGGUACAGGCUGGGUGGUUAGGUAGAGAGGAACGCGGGAAGUCUCUUCAGAUCAGGUCACUGGAGCGGCGUCCUUGCGGGUAGAAGAUGCGAACUGAGAACUAAGGAUGGGGAGAGCUGGAAACCGGUUCUCGGAGCCGGAGCAGCAAGUCCUGAGGCCUUUGGACUUGGAGUGGAACCACACGGCCAGCGUUUCUGGGUUUCCAGCUUGCAGACCACAGAUCUUCUCAGCCCCUAUAAUCAUGUCUGUCUGUGCCACUGGACAAGGACGCCUCCGGAAAGCCCACACGGUACAGGAGGUCUGGACAUGACGGCAUAACAAUGUUGCUUUGAUGCUCAAGUCGCCAGUGGGUCACUGGUUGGCUUAUCCAGCAGGAGUUUUUGCAAAAAUUACUUCGAUGAGAGUAAAGAAAAAAUUCCAAUUUUCUU